rnacentral:rRNA from 1 species
AGUGAACGCUGGCGGUAGGCCUAGCACAUGCAAGUCGAACGGCAGCACAGUAAGAGCUUGCUCUUACGGGUGGCGAGUGGCGGACGGGUGAGGAAUACAUCGGAAUCUACUUUUUCGUGGGGGAUAACGUAGGGAAACUUACGCUAAUACCGCAUACGACCUACGGGUGAAAGCAGGGGAUCUUCGGACCUUGCGCGAUUGAAUGAGCCGAUGUCGGAUUAGCUAGUUGGCGGGGUAAAGGCCCACCAAGGCGACGAUCCGUAGCUGGUCUGAGAGGAUGAUCAGCCACACUGGAACUGAGACACGGUCCAGACUCCUACGGGAGGCAGCAGUGGGGAAUAUUGGACAAUGGGCGCAAGCCUGAUCCAGCCAUACCGCGUGGGUGAAGAAGGCCUUCGGGUUGUAAAGCCCUUUUGUUGGGAAAGAAAGGCAGCAGGUUAAUACCCCGCUGUUCUGACGGUACCCAAAGAAUAAGCACCGGCUAACUUCGUG